AGAGGAACAUGCCAGAAAUCUGCCUUUCAGGGUGCCAGGGAAAAUACUUCCCAGGGUAAUGUCACCAGAGGUGCUCCGUUACAAAAUUGCUCCAGGGGACACAGAGGAAGCUGCUGGCUACUCAGUGCUGCUGUAGGAGCUGGGGACAGGGGAAGCCCCAGGCACCACGGAAACCUGGUGCUGGAGAAGUCAUGUGAGGUGCCAGAGGUGGAAUCGGAAGGGAGAGCUCCUUGCCCCUGCUGUGUCUCUCUAGCACCCUCUACUCACAAAGCGUGGUAUCAUGCCAGCUGGCCAAGGAAACAUUGUUAAAGGAUUCUACAAUUUCCCAGAACAGGCAAUUAAGGGUGAAUUUGGAGCUGAGAAGCAAGAGAUUGAUCACGGGCACAGCAGGACUCAGGGCUGCACUGAAUCUGAGAUCUUCGUCACGCUCGGAUGGGGAAACUGAGUCCUGGGGAUCUUUGUCCCAAAUCUCACGGUUACUGAACGGCUACGUUGGAACUAGAUGCAAGGUCUUGCAAUUUUCUCUAAAUUUUCUACAUGGCCACCUCAAAAAGAAAGCAUGCUGCACCUUUCAUUUUCUGGUGCAAAGCAGAAGAAAUGCGGAAGGAAGAGAAGGAGAAAGAAUCAAGUAAGUCCUGCUCCUUACUGAAACUGCCAGGUGCCCUGCUGGAAUCCUCCUUGGGAGAGAACCUCCAGUGCAAGGUUGAAUGGAAGUAUCAAGAAUGAACAUCUUUGUCUUGUACCCGAUCUUAGGAGGAAAAGGUCAGUUUUUCACCAUUACGUCAGCUACGGGGUUUUUAUAGAUUCCCUUUACCAUUUGAGGAAGUUUCCUCUUAUUCUCACUUUUUGAGUGUUCCUCAGUUAUUUUCUUAAGAAAUCAAAAUUACGCCCAGCCUAGAGUUGUGUGGACUUCUGAUUUUGUCAAACAUGCCAUACGCUCCACAAGGUUUUAUCAUAUCUGAUGCUCUCACAGUGACAACUCCAAGACAAAAAGGUACAGCAUUCUGUCAUAUCCCAUGACUCAGGAGGCACGGUGCUGUAUAAAACACUCUGAAAUCUCUCUUUCCAAAAUGACUUAAGUGGAAAGUAUUACUUCCCAAAAGGCUAAUGCCUCUGCCCGCCCCACGCCGGACCUGAGCCCUGAGGGGCCGCUCCCUGUUGACUUCCAGUCGUCAGUUAGAAGCUGUAUAUUCAUUCUAGAACCUUUCCAAGGAAACACUUAAGUCUGAAGCCUACACCUGGUUUUCUCCCAAAGUCUAGGCCCUCUUCCUUUCCCCGGUAUCCACAGGUCUCCCUCCAUUGUCCUCUCCUCCCAUAAUCUUCAAUUCCAGUGGAAGACAGCACUUGGCUCUCGGGAAAGAGCAGAAAAAGGAAUGGAAUGAAAGUUCUUCACGGCGUUUCAGGGGAUUUGUUUGAAGCCACAGCGAUGACCCCGCUCCAAGUCCCUGCUGGAGUCCCUGUGGGACCACUCAGAAGUAGGACUCUGUCCUCAGGCCACUCCUGAGAGUGGGCCACAGGGUGGACCCUGAAAGGGCUGCCUCUUUGCUGGGCCUCUGGGGCCCGUCACCCUCUCUCCCAGUGUCCUCUGUGCAGACUGUGGCUGCCUCGGCCAGCGCAACAGCAGGGGCCCCCAAUUCACUCCUCAGCCCACCCAGACCUCAGGCCAGAAACUCUGAAUGAACGUUUUCCUGGUUUUCCUGUGUCCUGAUUCUCUGGAUGACUAACUGUCUCUAGAAGCCCGAACAAUCCAGUCACCUCAAGCCCCCAGGCUUGGAUUUGUGCAACCAGCUUCUCAGAAGGCCCUGGGAACCCCUGACUGAGGCAAUAAGAUGGAGUUAGAAACCAGCCCAGUAUCAGGGGAAAACCCAAAUCUGUUCAAAUAUGGAUACAACUGGAUAGACGCUCAACAGA
rnacentral:lncRNA from 1 species